rnacentral:rRNA from 1 species
GACGAACGCUGGCGGCGUGCUUAACACAUGCAAGUCGAACGGAAAGGCCCUGCUUUUGUGGGGUGCUCGAGUGGCGAACGGGUGAGUAACACGUGAGUAACCUGCCCUUGACUUUGGGAUAACUUCAGGAAACUGGGGCUAAUACCGGAUAGGAGCUCCUGCUGCAUGGUGGGGGUUGGAAAGUUUCGGCGGCUGGGGAUGGACUCGCGGCUUAUCAGCUUGUUGGUGGGGUAGUGGCUUACCAAGGCUUUGACGGGUAGCCGGCCUGAGAGGGUGACCGGCCACAUUGGGACUGAGAUACGGCCCAGACUCCUACGGGAGGCAGCAGUGGGGAAUAUUGCACAAUGGGCGGAAGCCUGAUGCAGCAACGCCGCGUGCGGGAUGACGGCCUUCGGGUUGUAAACCGCUUUCGCCUGUGACGAAGCGUGAGUGACGGUAAUGGGUAAAGAAGCACCGGCUAACUACGUGCCAGCAGCCGCGGUGAUACGUAGGGUGCGAGCGUUGUCCGGAUUUAUUGGGCGUAAAGGGCUCGUAGGUGGUUGAUCGCGUCGGAAGUGUAAUCUUGGGGCUUAACCCUGAGCGUGCUUUCGAUACGGGUUGACUUGAGGAAGGUAGGGGAGAAUGGAAUUCCUGGUGGAGCGGUGGAAUGCGCAGAUAUCAGGAGGAACACCAGUGGCGAAGGCGGUUCUCUGGGCCUUUCCUGACGCUGAGGAGCGAAAGCGUGGGGAGCGAACAGGCUUAGAUACCCUGGUAGUCCACGCUGUAAACGGUGGGUACUAGGUGUGGGGUCCAUUCCACGGGUUCCGUGCCGUAGCUAACGCUUUAAGUACCCCGCCUGGGGAGUACGGCCGCAAGGCUAAAACUCAAAGGAAUUGACGGGGCCCCGCACAAGCGGCGGAGCAUGCGGAUUAAUUCGAUGCAACGCGUAGAACCUUACCUGGGUUUGACAUGGAUCGGGAGUGCUCAGAGAUGGGUGUGCCUCUUUUGGGGUCGGUUCACAGGUGGUGCAUGGCUGUCGUCAGCUCGUGUCGUGAGAUGUUGGGUUAAGUCCCGCAACGAGCGCAACCCUUGUUCACUGUUGCCAGCACGUUAUGGUGGGGACUCAGUGGAGACCGCCGGGGUCAACUCGGAGGAAGGUGGGGAUGACGUCAAGUCAUCAUGCCCCUUAUGUCCAGGGCUUCACGCAUGCUACAAUGGCUGGUACAGAGAGUGGCGAGCCUGUGAGGGUGAGCGAAUCUCGGAAAGCCGGUCUCAGUUCGGAUUGGGGUCUGCAACUCGACCUCAUGAAGUCGGAGUCGCUAGUAAUCGCAGAUCAGCAACGCUGCGGCGAAAAGGUUCNCCGGGGCU